AAGUCGUAACAAGGUUUCCGUAGGUGAACCUGCGGAAGGAUCAUUAAAAAUCAUAAAAAAGUAAUUGGGUGACGGGUAUAGGGUGACGCAUGGGGGAAAACUUGGGAGAGGGUGUUGGGUGAGGGUGGGUAAAAACUUGGGUAAAAACUUGGCUUGAAUGUUUUGGCUUGGAUGGACAGAGGGAAUGGCAAAACAUAAUAAACUAUAAUGUUUGAUGAGACUAUAAACAUCAGAUCACUUUUAACAAUGGAUCUCUAGGCUCUU
rnacentral:misc_RNA from 1 species